UUGGGCGUAAGGGCUCGCAGGCGGUUGUCUUAAGUCUGAUGUGAAAGCCCCCGGCUCAACCGGGGAGGGUCAUUGGAAACUGGGGAACUUGAGUGCAGAAGAGGAGAGUGGAAUUCCACGUGUAGCGGUGAAAUGCGUAGAGAUGUGGAGGAACACCAGUGGCGAAGGCGACUCUCUGGUCUGUAACUGACGCUGAGGAGCGAAAGCGUGGGGAGCGAACAGGAUUAGAUACCCUGGUAGUCCACGCCGUAAACGAUGAGUGCUAAGUGUUAGGGGGUUUCCGCCCCUUAGUGCUGCAGCUAACGCAUUAAGCACUCCGCCUGGGGAGUACGGUCGCAAGACUGAAACUCAAAGGAAUUGACGGGGGCCCGCACAAGCGGUGGAGCAUGUGGUUUAAUUCGAAGCAACGCGAAGAACCUUACCAGGUCUUGACAUCCUCUGACAAUCCUAGAGAUAGGACGUCCCCUUCGGGGGCAGAGUGACAGGUGGUGCAUGGUUGUCGUCAGCUCGUGUCGUGAGAUGUUGGGUUAAGUCCCGCAACGAGCGCAACCCUUGAUCUUAGUUGCCAGCAUUCAGUUGGGCACUCUAAGGUGACUGCCGGUGACAAACCGGAGGAAGGUGGGGAUGAC
rnacentral:rRNA from 2 species